CCUACGGGAGGCAGCAGUAGGGAAUUUUGCGCAAUGGGCGAAAGUCUGACGCAGCAACGCCGCGUGAUCGAGACGCCCUUCAGGGGGUAAAGAUCUGUCAGAGGGAACGAAACUUGACGGUACCCACAGAGGAAGCACCGGCUAACUCCGUGCCAGCAGCCGCGGUAAUACGGGGGGUGCAAGCGUUGUCCGGAAUCAUUGGGCGUAAAGCGUUCGUAGGCGGCACGUAAAGUCUGGUGUUAAAGGCAGAGGCUCAACUUCUGUACGGCACUGGAUACUUGCGAGCUAGAAUGCGGUAGAGGUAAAGGGAAUUCGUGGUGUAGCGGUGAAAUGCUUAGAUAUCAGGAGGAACAUCGGUGGCGUAAGCGCUUUACUGGGCCGUAAUUGACGCUGAGGAACGAAAGCGAGGGUAGCAAAUGGGAUUAGAUACCCGAGUAGUC
rnacentral:rRNA from 1 species